UAUUAACUCUGGCGGCGUGCCUAAUACAUGCAAGUCGAGCGAACAGACGAGGAGCUUGCUCCUCUGACGUUAGCGGCGGACGGGUGAGUAACACGUGGAUAACCUACCUAUAAGACUGGGAUAACUUCGGGAAACCGGAGCUAAUACCGGAUAAUAUAUUGAACCGCAUGGUUCAAUAGUGAAAGACGGUUUUGCUGUCACUUAUAGAUGGAUCCGCGCCGCAUUAGCUAGUUGGUAAGGUAACGGCUUACCAAGGCAACGAUGCGUAGCCGACCUGAGAGGGUGAUCGGCCACACUGGAACUGAGACACGGUCCAGACUCCUACGGGAGGCAGCAGUAGGGAAUCUUCCGCAAUGGGCGAAAGCCUGACGGAGCAACGCCGCGUGAGUGAUGAAGGUCUUCGGAUCGUAAAACUCUGUUAUUAGGGAAGAACAAAUGUGUAAGUAACUAUGCACAUCUUGACGGUACCUAAUCAGAAAGCCACGGCUAACUACGUG
rnacentral:rRNA from 1 species